rnacentral:lncRNA from 1 species
GAAAACGCGCUGCAUUCGCCCGAUUUGUCCUGUCGUCUGCUAUUCACUUUGCAUAUAAAUCCCAAGUUUGAGUUGAAGACUACAUUCUUUUUAACCAUUUAGGACCGAAAAGGACCCAAUAAACUUCCGGGUCUCCAAAUUCUCGCAGGAGCAAAUUAUACGCAUCAACUACUUACCAGGCUUUGGACCGCUACAAAUUCUCGUGCAGCUACCCGCAGUUUUUACCGGGAAUGGCGUGCCAUGGCUCCGGCGAUGAUCCCGAGGUCCGCGUGCUCAAACUUCACGACAACGACCACCAGGACACCACCCUCUACCGGCUGACCAAAGGUUUUGUACUCCACUUUCGCCUGGGCCG